AGUAAGAAAGACUAAGG
rnacentral:tRNA from 1 species